UACGAAGGGAGCUAGCGUUGUUCGGAAUCACUGGGCGUAAAGCGCACGUAGGCGGAUUUGCCAGUCAGGGGUGAAAUCCCGGGGCUCAACCUCGGAACUGCCUUUGAUACAGCAAGUCUUGAGUUCGAGAGAGGUGGGCGGAAUUCCUAGUGUAGAGGUGAAAUUCGUAGAUAUUAGGAAGAACACCGGUGGCGAAGGCGGCCCACUGGCUCGACACUGACGCUGAGGUGCGAAAGCGUGGGGAGCAAACAGG
rnacentral:rRNA from 1 species